rnacentral:rRNA from 1 species
CCUGAGAGGGUGACCGGCCACAUUGGGACUGAGACACGGCCCAAACUCCUACGGGAGGCAGCAGUGGGGAAUAUUGCACAAUGGGGGAAACCCUGAUGCAGCGACGCCGCGUGAGCGAUGAAGUAUUUCGGUAUGUAAAGCUCUAUCAGCAGGGAGGAAAAUGACGGUACCUGACUAAGAAGCCCCGGCUAACUACGUGCCAGCAGCCGCGGUAAU